rnacentral:rRNA from 1 species
AUUGAACGCUGGCGGCAUGCCUUACACAUGCAAGUCGAACGGCAGCACGGGAGCAAUCCUGGUGGCGAGUGGCGAACGGGUGAGUAAUACAUCGAAACGUGCCCAGUCGUGGGGGAUCACGCAGCGAAAGCUGCGCUAAUACCGCAUACGAUCUAUGGAUGAAAGCGGGGGACCGUAAGGCCCCGCGCGAUUGGAGCGGCCGAUGUCAGAUUAGGUAGUUGGUGGGGUAAAGGCUCACCAAGCCGACGAUCUGUAGCUGGUCUGAGAGGACGACCAGCCACACUGGGACUGAGACACGGCCCAGACUCCUACGGGAGGCAGCAGUGGGGAAUUUUGGACAAUGGGCGCAAGCCUGAUCCAGCAAUGCCGCGUGCAGGAAGAAGGCCUUCGGGUUGUAAACUGCUUUUGUACGGAACGAAACGGUCCUGGCUAAUACCCGGGGCUAAUGACGGUACCGUAAGAAUAAGCACCGGCUAACUACGUGCCAGCAGCCGCAGUAACAC